rnacentral:rRNA from 1 species
UACGGAGGAUCCGAGCGUUAUCCGGAUUUAUUGGGUUUAAAGGGUGCGCAGGCGGGAGAUUAAGUCGGCGGUGAAAUUUUGCAGCUCAACUGUAAAAGUGCCUUCGAAACUGGUUUCCUUGAGUGUAGAUGAAGUAGGCGGAAUUUGUGGUGUAGCGGUGAAAUGCAUAGAUAUCACGAGGAACUCCGAUUGCGCAGGCAGCUUACUAAGCUACUACUGACGCUCAGGCACGAAGGCGUGGGGAUCAAACAGGAUUAGAUACCCGCGUA